UGUGGGAGCGGGCUUGCUCGCGAAAGCGGUCUUCCAGUCAACUUUGCAUCGACUGACAGUACGCAUUCGCGAGCAAGCCCGCUCCCACA
rnacentral:misc_RNA from 1 species